GAUGAACGCUAGCGGCAGGCUUAACACAUGCAAGUCGGAGGGGUAACAUUGUAGCUUGCUACAGAUGACGACCGGCGAACGGGUGCGUAACGCGUAUAGAAUCUGCCUUGUACAAGAGGAUAGCCUUUAGAAAUGAAGAUUAAUACUCCAUAAUGCUAAUAUGUGGCAUCACAAAUUAGUUAAAGAUUUAUCGGUACAAGAUGACUAUGCGUCCUAUUAGUUAGUUGGUAAGGUAAUGGCUUACCAAGACUUUGAUAGGUAGGGGUCCUGAGAGGGAGAUCCCCCACACUGGUACUGAGACACGGACCAG
rnacentral:rRNA from 1 species